GAUGAACGCUGGCGGCGUGCCUAAUACAUGCAAGUCGAGCGAACAGACGAGGAGCUUGCUCCUCUGACGUUAGCGGCGGACGGGUGAGUAACACGUGGAUAACCUACCUAUAAGACUGGGAUAACUUCGGGAAACCGGAGCUAAUACCGGAUAACAUGUUGAACCGCAUGGUUCAACAGUGAAAGACGGUCUUGCUGUCACUUAUAGAUGGAUCCGCGCCGCAUUAGCUAGUUGGUAAGGUAACGGCUUACCAAGGCAACGAUGCGUAGCCGACCUGAGAGGGUGAUCGGCCACACGGGAACUGAGACACGGUCCAGACUCCGAAGGGAGGCAGCAGUAGGGAAUCUGCCGCAAUGGGCGAAAGCCUGACGGAGCAACGCCGCGUGAGUGAUGAAGGUCUUCGGAUCGUAAAACUCUGUUAUUAGGGAAGAACAAAUGUGUAAGUAACUAUGCACGUCUUGACGGUACCUAAUCAGAAAGCCACGGCUAACUACGUG
rnacentral:rRNA from 1 species